UAUUAAAGUUGCAAAAGGAAAACGGUUCUGUCAGCCACAUAAGGCUUAAAAUACUACGGUGUGGUUAUCACUUUUGAUAUAAUUCAUGGUCUGAGUAAAAAUCUAAAUAGAAGCAUUUGUAUUCUAACACUUUUUUAAAAUAAAUGCCAACGCCGGAUAUUUUGUUCGUAGUUUUGCUAAAAUCAAAUCACAUGGAAUUGUGCGUGGUAUUUUUUUUAGCGUGUGUUUGAUAUGCUCACAAACACAUUCUCUCGCUCUAUUCCAAAGUGCGCUGCUGCCAAAGAAAACGAACAGUCCCAAUUUUAUUUAGUGAAACAUAGAGCAAAUAUUGGAUAAAUUUGCUAUUUGUGGUGAUAAUCAAGUGGUAAUAAAGUGUAAAAAGUAGUUUACGUACCUAAUUUGUCGUAUCAUACACGAUAAAGAGAAGAAACAGGCGAUCCAAAAAAUUCCGGCGAGUGCUCAUCAGAAUCAGCUGCCACCGUUUCGGUCACUGUAUCAUAUUUUCGCGUAGUGAGUUACUACUUGCAUCACAAGUUCGCCGCUACUUAGCUCCAGCCGCUCCAGUAGAACCGGGUCUUGCUGUUCCCGGUUUAGCGGUUGAUAAUACCAGAGCAGGUUCGCCGCUACUUAGCUUCAGCCGCUCCAGUAGAACCGGGUCUUGCUGUUCCCGGUUUAGCAUCUAAACUACAGUAUCCCCCCGCUUAUCCGGACCUCGCUAGUCCGACGACUCGUUAGUCCGGAUCUCGCUAAUUCGGAAUUUUCCGGAUUAAAAAGUAUCAACACCCAUUUAAACACAUUAUGCUGUCAGUUUUCAAAUUUGUGCUGUGAUUUUGUUUUGAUUCAUUUGUAUGGAUUUGACAGUCGGAUUAACGAGAGAAACCCCGAUAGUCCGGCAAUACAUUUGUCGGAUCAGCGGGGGUAUACUGUAACUGAUUCAUACAAGACCGGACGAACGUUCGGAAUUCAUGAAAACUAAACGUCUUGUGGCAUUUUAUGAAUACACGAAGAAAUGGAUGAAUCCAUCAUUGCCAGCAUCGCAGCGGAAUUAUUGAACUACCUAUCCCCCAAGAAAAAAAAAUAGCAGCUCUGCUUCUUUCAAAUGGGCGGGAUUGAUGCUAAAACCUAAAACCAUCAAACACGCCGUUAAAACGAAUAAUCUGUUGCCCUAUUGCCCUAUCCAAAACCAUGAUGAGGCAGAGCUGAAAGCCCAGAGGUCAGUUGAACUGGAGAUAGAUCUCCGAAUGAAGGGAUUUUAUUCUAGAGCAGGCUAAAACCUAGUCCAAAAUUGCGGCUAUUUAACGCUGGCUGAAGAAAAUGGUCAAUAAAAUCGAGCAACUUGAUAAGGAUUCCAAACAGUUGUCGGAAAGAAUGUAAAAUGAAGGGAUCUGCAAUCUAAGUGGAUGAAUUGGUUUCGGCACUGGAUGUGGUUGCAGCCAAAGCAACCGAACUAAGUUGCAGACAUGCAACAGUUCAAGGGACUUCCCGUGAUACUAUGACUUCAUGAAUCCGGGACAUUACUGAGCUAUUUGCCUAGACAAAAAGGUCCCUGAAACAAUCGUCAACUACCCAUACCCGGUUUAAAAGGUGAUGCAAACCAAAUUCUGGAUCAUGGCAUACUUCCCCUUCCCUACUGAGUAUCCCAGCGGUUGAAAUCUUGGAAGAACCAUACACAGCGGGUGCCGAGAACCAGAACUUCGAUUCAAUUUAAUGUUAGUCAGUGUGGUACAUACUGCAUGGCUUCUGUUUUACCGGUCCAACAUAAACUGUUAGUAACCAGUAGCUCAAACAAUUUUAGUACAGCGCUAGAUCUUUUUGACCCUUCCUUCGGAAGUGUAUAUAAUUUCGCUUUGUAUGCGUUACUCAGGCGUGUUACGUAUUAAUCUACCAAUAAAUCUCUUGAAUUAUUAAAUAAAAUGUGUGGUAUUAGGAACAAAUUCACUUUAAUAUUGAAAAUAUGAUUAUGACAAAUGAUAUGGUAUGGAAAUAUGCAUAUUUUUCUGAUUUGUUUCAAAGAAACAAUUGAUUUUAAUUGAGGAACAUAUAGAAGCAUGUACCAAACAAUCUUCUCAGAAAAGCAAAAACGUAAAAAUUUAAAGGGAUUUCAAAAAUUUCUUCAGUGGAAACUAGAUAGCAAAUGUGAGCAUGUUUUGAGACACCAAUAGACCACUAAAAUUCACUACCAUACAAAUCUAGCUCAUUUUUAAGGUAUUAAACAAGAUUAGUUUUACAAAAUUAUGCAUCCAUGUGGCGAAAUAUAUGUUAUUAUUGAACGCUAUUGACUUUCGUUCAGAUCAAUGACUGAUUUAGUUAGUUCUGGAAUAAUUAAUAUCGAGGUCUCUGGAAAUUACGGGUACAAUAUAUGCUACCAGCGUUACGAUAGUUACUAACCAUGUUACAAUACCUAUUUAAUCCGACGUGCGCUUGAUAGAUAGGCAGCAUGACAUACAGUGCGUAUUCGUUCAUUUUGUUGUUACUCAACACAUGGAAUCCGCCUUUGGGUAGGCAAUUAAUUUUUCACGUUAUAUGUUCAAUCGCGGUGGGAAGUUGAUUACUUUAAUCUCGUUUUAAAUACUGGAGUCUGACAAUAUUUUCUUACGACUAAGGAAGGGUCAAAAUCUCACUGUAGGUGGAUUAAUCAGGGUUUUUUUUUUUAUUUCGAAUUAAUCAUAGAUUAUGUACUAGCUAUAUUUAUUUGAAAAGCUAUUUUAAUAAAAAUGAUGAAUA